CAGAAAAGAGCACAGUUUGACGAUCAGGUCGAAUAUUUUGAACAAUGCGAGUUAUUUGAGGCUCAAAACCCAUAUCAAACAUACGAUCAGCUUCAUCCAUUACCAAAUAUG
rnacentral:sRNA from 1 species